UACGUAGGUGGCAAGCGUUAUCCGGAAUUAUUGGGCGUAAAGAGCGCGCAGGUGGUUAAUUAAGUCUGAUGUGAAAGCCCACGGCUUAACCGUGGAGGGUCAUUGGAAACUGGUUGACUUGAGUGCAGAAGGAGGGGAGUGGAAGUUCCAUGUGUAGCGGUGAAAUGCGUAGAGAUAUGGAGGAACACCAGUGGCGAAGGCGGCUUCCUGGUCUGCAACUGACACUGAGGCGCGAAAGCGUGGGGAGCAAACAGG
rnacentral:rRNA from 1 species